rnacentral:piRNA from 1 species
UAACAGGGAAGUCGCAGAGCUCCUAACGUUU